CCAGCCCGAAGUUUAGCUCUGUGCAGCGAGAUUCUGUGCAGCCACACCAGGCAUGAGAUGCCGUUUUGGAAACAAACAUCUAAGUAGUUUUCCUUCAAUCAGAAAAAAAAACCACACACCAGAAAAUGGCUACAUGUUUUGAAUUUAACUCUUGUCAAUCAGCAUUCUGCACAACGCUCCCUCUGAAUGGUACGAGCACAAAACGAUGCCUUCCAAAGACUAAUAAGCCACAAAGACGUUUGCUUCUAAACCAGAUCUGCUCCGAAGAGAGAAAAGGCCUUCGUGCUGCACAGGCAUUUGUACAGAGGCAGCUGUGAAAUAAAAAUACUUGCGAUGUACGGGCGAUAUUUCAAAUCGGAAAUAAGUUAGAUGGAUGUGUUUGUGGGCUAAAGAAGAGGAGAUUUGUUUUCCGACAGCUUUAGGCCUCAAGCAAUGAAUCGAAGCACUUGCCAGUUCCUUUCCGACUUCCUCCUGGAGCAGUGGCCAACUGUCCAAAAAUCCUUUGCCUAAAUUUCUGCGCCGAGUUACCUGCUGUGGCGCGAGCACCCCCGCCGCACCUGUAGCCGGCCAAGGUCACGCCGGCUCUCCAGGGUACAGAAGCAGGAAGGUAGGCUAAAAAAGGCUAAUAAAGUAUAUUAAUUCGGAUGACUCUAUCAAGCUGGCAUUUUACAGCC